rnacentral:rRNA from 1 species
GACGAACGCUGGCGGCGUACUUAACACAUGCAAGUCGAACGGAAAGGCCCUGCUUUUGUGGGGUGCUCGAGUGGCGAACGGGUGAGUAACACGUGAGUAACCUGCCCUUGACUUUGGGAUAACUUCAGGAAACUGGGGCUAAUACCGGAUAGGAGCUCCUGCUGCAUGGUGGGGGUUGGAAAGUUUCGGCGGUUGGGGAUGGACUCGCGGCUUAUCAGCUUGUUGGUGGGGUAGUGGCUUACCAAGGCUUUGACGGGUAGCCGGCCUGAGAGGGUGACCGGCCACAUUGGGACUGAGAUACGGCCCAGAAUCCUACGGGAGGCAGCAGUGGGGAAUAUUGCACAAUGGGCCGAAGCCUGAUGCAGCAACGCCGCGUGCGGGAUGACGGCCUUUGGGUUGUAAACCGCUUUCGCCUGUGACGAAGCGUGAGUGACGGUAAUUGGUUAAGAAGCACCGGCUAACUACGUG